rnacentral:rRNA from 1 species
GAAUUCACUAGUGAUUCAGGCCUAACACAUGCAAGUCGAGCGGUAGAGAGAAGCUUGCUUCUCUUGAAAAAAACGGACGGGUGAGUAAUGCCUAGGAAUCUGCCUGGUAGUGGGGGAUAACGUUCGGAAACGGACGGUAAUACCGCAUACGUCCUACGGGAGAAAGCAGGGGGCCUUCGGGGCCGUUGCGCUAUCAGAUGAGCCUAGGUCGGAUUGGCUAGUUGGUGAGGUAAUGGCUCACCAAGGCAACGAUCCGUAACUGGUCUGAGAGGAUGAUCAGUCACACUGGAACUGGGAUACGGUCCAGACUCCUACGGGAGGCAGCAGUGGGGAAUAUUGGACA